AAUAUGGGAAUGGUGUAUUGUAAUAGUCAAUGGUUCUGGUCAUCCAUUCAGGUGGAAGGAAGGUAACUGAUGAAAUCUUCAUCUCUAAAGAGCACAAGAAGUUGCUGUACUGAAUAAAGCAAUAAAAAUGGGAGCUACCUGUUCAGAUGAAAGCAAAGUAGUUAGUAAUUCUAACCAAUGAUGAUGAUCUCUGCUCCUUUUUCCUUCCCAGAGAAGGCCAUUGGUUAUUCCUACAAGGAUGUAACAGGGAAGUUAUUUCAAAGAACAAGUGCAACUAACCAGAGUGUGAAGAUGAGCAUUAAGCCUGCUCUUCCAUUUGCAGAGAGGAGUUGUCCAGCUGAUUCUAUUUGUGCCUAAUUGAUCAUUGUUGCUUAUUUUUCAGAUGUCAAGAAAUAAGCGGAACUGAUCAUUUCUAUCAAGAGGUAAGGAACGCACCUCCUCACAGCAUGGAGGCAGGAAUGAAAGGCUCUGUUUCUAUUUUCAGGUGAAAGGAAGGUCUUACCAUUCAAGGGAGGAUGAGAUGCUGCUGAAUUUAAGAAAAAAAGGCAGACAGGUUUUGCUCUUCUGAGAUAUGAAGAGACCAGGUGGUCAUUCCUACCAGGGAGAAGUGAGGCUUAGUGGCAUGGCUGUCCUGGGCAAGGAGACAAAAAAGCCACUUCAAAUAGUUCAGCUAGUCGCAAAUCUGAAUCAAGUCAGCAGAACAUCACAGACAUGGAGAUCAGAGAAAUGCAGAUGAUUUGAACGUUGAGGUGUG